GAUUUCUGGUGUGGUGCGCCGAGCCCGCAUCCGUUUAGGUUGUGAGUGCUUGCUGCGCGCCUACCAUCCUUCCGGAGAGGCCGAUCUGCCCUUAACUGGAACGGGUCGCGUCGAUCUGGAUCGUUUACUUUGAAAAAAUUAGAGUGUUUCAAGCAGGCGUUUUGCUAUGAAUACAUUAGCAUGGAAUAAUGAGUUAGGACUUCGGUUCUAUUUUGUUGGUUUCUAGGACUGAAGUAAUGAUUGAUAGGGAUAGUUGGGGGUGCUAGUAUUCAGCGGCCAGAGGUGAAAUUCUUGGAUUCGCUGAAGACUAACUUAUGCGAAAGCAUU
rnacentral:rRNA from 1 species